AUGCAAAAAGAAUACCCAGAUGAAGGUACCAUUCUCCUGUCUUUACACCUUUGUGCAAAACAUCAUCAGGACUGCAGAGAAAAAAUAAACAAAUUUCCAGUUGCAGAUCGCAGAAGCACAUCUCCUUCUCCAAACACAGACUCACAUGAAAAUAUAUGCGCUCAUCCUACAAAUACAUCUCUGACUCCGUACCUGAUCAGCGAUGAUGGUCCUAGCAACUGCCAAGCGACCGGCGAUGACCUGCCCAUUUCAGCAACACCAAAGAUCGAGCCAGACGUUGAGGUUGCAAGAUUUCUGAGGAUAAUAGCAGACCAGCCCUCUUACUUCAAUGUCUAUGACUCCUACCAGAAUAUGGAAAAUACAAAAGAUACUGAUCGUGAGAGGAAAUGGAUUUCGUUGAAAACCCCCUUAUGCCUGGAUAUGACGGGCCAUGCUAUCUACCGGAGUUAUGGAGCAGGAAAAAUAAUGAAGAACAAUGGCAUGAAAGUAGUUGUUCAUGUUCUAACCACAAAGAACAACAAAUUGUACCCAAACAGAAAACCUCGCUGGAGAAGCAUAAUUGGCCCAUGUUUUGCGGAGGAAUUCGCCAACAACCCGGAGAAUCCCAACAUAGACAGAUUCUUCUCAAUGUUCGAUGCAACCAAACUCCCCUACAAACUGGAAGAAACAAAAAAGUUCAUGAUAGUACUCGUUGUCGACGGGGGCUGGUGCGUUUAUGAGGUUGACAUAAAUGAGAGAACACUGCAUGUCAUGGAUCCAAUGAUGGCCUCAUCUAGGAGGGAUGAUGUGGAGAGGAAACACAGGGAGAACGCUGGAUUUAUGCUCCACUGCCUUUGCAAGUGCCUCCGUGAAUGGUAUCCUAAUUGGCAUUUCACAACUUAUCCAUGGACUUACAAAUACAACAGUGGCAUUCACCACCGCAACUCCGACAGAGCCGAUAGCGGGUUCUACGUCAUACACUACAUUCGGGAGUUCGAUGGAGUUAUGUUGCACACGGCUCCUACAGAUGACCUGAUUAAACAUCUGCGCAAGGAGAUGGCGUAUGAAGCACUGAGACUGAAUGGCAACAGGGGUGACUUCCCGAACAACCUCUAUGCUCGGAUCCUAGAGUAA
rnacentral:rRNA from 1 species